GAUGAACGCUGGCGGCGUGCUUAACACAUGCAAGUCGAACGAGAAAUGUAGACGGAAACCUUCGGGCGGAAGCCUUCAUUUCGAGUGGCGGACGGGUGAGUAACGCGUGGGUAACCUGCCUCAUACAGGGGGAUAACAGUUGGAAACGACUGUUAAUACCGCAUAAGACCACGGCAUCGCAUGAUGCGGGGGUAAAAACUCCGGUGGUAUGAGAUGGACCCGCGUUCGAUUAGCCAGUUGGCGGGGUAACGGCCCACCAAAGCGACGAUCGAUAGCCGAUCUGAGAGGAUGACCGGCCACAUUGGGACUGAGACACGGCCCAAACUCCUACGGGAGGCAGCAGUGGGGAAUAUUGCACAAUGGGGGAAACCCUGAUGCAGCGACGCCGCGUGAGUGAAGAAGUACUUCGGUAUGUAAAGCUCUAUCAGCAGGGAAGAAAAUGACGGUACCUGAGUAAGAAGCCCCGGCUAACUACGUG
rnacentral:rRNA from 1 species